GGCCGUGUGGUCUAGUAGUAUGAUACCUCCUUCGGGUGGAAGUCCCGCUCAGACGAAGAGCAUGGAGGUGGUCCUGGGUUCAAUUCCCAGCUCGGCCC